UACACUCCUACGGGAGGCAGCAGUGGGGAAUAUUGGACAAUGGGCGCAAGCCUGAUCCAGCCAUGCCGCGUGAGUGAUGAAGGCCCUAGGGUUGUAAAGCUCUUUCACCGGUGAAGAUAAUGACGGUAACCGGAGAAGAAGCCCCGGCUAACUUCGUGCCAGCAGCCGCGGUAAUACGAAGGGGGCUAGCGUUGUUCGGAUUUACUGGGCGUAAAGCGCACGUAGGCGGACUAUUAAGUCAGGGGUGAAAUCCCGGGGCUCAACCCCGGAACUGCCUUUGAUACUGGUAGUCUUGAGUUCGAGAGAGGUGAGUGGAAUUCCGAGUGUAGAGGUGAAAUUCGUAGAUAUUCGGAGGAACACCAGUGGCGAAGGCGGCUCACUGGCUCGAUACUGACGCUGAGGUGCGAAAGCGUGGGGAGCAAACAGGAUUAGAAACCCGGGUAGUCCCAUG
rnacentral:rRNA from 1 species